rnacentral:rRNA from 1 species
UGGGGAAUAUUGCACAAUGGGCGCAAGCCUGAUGCAGCCGUGCCGCGUGUGCGAAGAAGGCCUUCGGUUGUAAAGCACUUUCAGCGAGGAGGAAGGUGGUGGACUUAAUACGUUCAUCAAUUGACGUUACUCGCAGAAGAAGCACCGGCUAACUCCGUGCCAGCAGCCGCGGUAAUACGGAGGGUGCAAGCGUUAAUCGGAAUUACUGGGCGUAAAGCGCACGCAGGCGGUUUGUUAAGUCAGAUGUGAAAUCCCCGGGCUCAACCUGGGAACUGCAUUUGAAACUGGCAAGCUAGAGUCUCGUAGAGGGGGGCUAGAAUUCCAGGUGUAGCGGUGAAAUGCGUAGAGAUCUGGAGGAAUACCGGUGGCGAAGGCGGCCCCCCUGGACGAAGACUGACGCUCAGGUGCGAAAGCGUGGGGAGCAAAC